UUGUUAGAAUAAAUGGGAUAUUGCAUGUAAAACACUUAGCAUGGCCAUGCUCACUUACACCUGUGCAAGGAAGGUAAUUCUGGAAAACCUACUUCCAGCUAGGUUAGGUUGACACAAUCCAGAUCUACCCAUCCUGUGUACAGGAUUCUUCUCAGCAUGAUGCAGUGUGGUACUCAGCAACCGUUCUUCCAUGUUCUGGAGAGCAUGAAAGAAGUUAAGACAGGACCUCUGUUUUCAAACUGUCACUUGUCAUCUGUAUUAGUUUGCUCGGCUGCCACAACAAAAUGCCAAAGACUGGGUGGCUUAAACAACAGAAAUCUGUUUCCUCACAGUUCUGGAGGCUGGAAGUCCAUGAUCAAGGUGUCAGCAGGUUUGGUUUCUCUGGGGCCUCUCUCCUUGGCUUGCAGAUGGCUGCCUUCUUGCUGUGUCUUCAUAUGGUCGUCCCUUUAUGUAUGUUUCUGAUGUCUCUCUGUGUGUCUAAAUGCCCUCUUCUUUUAUUUAUUUACUUAUUUUUUGAAACAGGGUCUAGCUGUGUCACCCAAGCUGUAGUGCAGAGGUGUGAUCAUGGCUCCCUUGCAGCUUUGACCUCCCAGGCACAAGCAAUCCUCCCACUUCAGCCUCCUGAGUAGCUGGGACCACAGUA
rnacentral:lncRNA from 1 species